UUGGCCACUUGGCUCUGAGAACUGAAUUCCAUAGGCCAUGAGCUCUAGCAAAUGCCCUAGGUACUCAGUUCUGGUGCCCGGCUGUGCCAC
rnacentral:pre_miRNA from 1 species